CCAACUCUUCCAGAUCCAAACGGCCGACUGUGUAACUUCUGUCUUCCUGAUACCACGGACUGCAAUGUUAUCGUCCAGUGUCGAGGAAACCAGGACAGAUGCAUCCAGGGAAAUGUGACAACAGACUCUGGCACGUCUCCACUUAGCGGCUGCUCAUCUGAAAAUGUGUGUAGUGCUGCUCAGAGCUCGGGGAUGCUGCCACUGAGGCCAGAGGUUGGCGAUUUCAGCAGAGGACCCCUAUGCUGUGAAGGAAAUCUGUGUAAUGAUGUCCUGCUGACUACAACUACGACUACUGGCGCCCCCACAACUUCUACUCCGAUGAUUCCUGCAGCAACAACUGUUCCACUUCAGUGUACGACCUGCAUAGACUCAUCAUGUUCCGUUGAAGACGUAUUGCCAUGUUCCUCUGAAACAAUGUGUGUGUCAGCAGCCAUCCUCGAGUCUUCCAAUGGAGCCGAGACUGAUCGAAUCUUCAAGGGCUGUGCAAACUCCUCCCUGUGUCCAUCUA